GGUUCGAUUAUGGCUCAGAACGUACGCUGGCGGCACGCCUAACACAUGCAAGUCGAACGAAGUAGCAAUACUUAGUGGCAGACGGGUGAGUAACAUGUAGGUAUCUGCCCUUUGGCCUGGAAUAACACGAGGAAACUUGUGCUAAUACCGGAUAAGUCUUUACGGAGAAAGCUUUAUGCACCAUCGGAUGAGCCUGCACUUGAUUAGUUUGUUGGUGGGGUAAUGGCCUACCAAGACUGUGAUCAAUAGCUGAUUUGAGAGGAUGAUCAGCCACAUUGGGACUGAGACACGGCCCAAACUCCUACGGGAGGCAGCAGUGGGGAAUCUUGCACAAUGGAGGAAACUCUGAUGCAGCGAUGCCGCGUGAGUGAAGAAGGCCCUUGGGUUGUAAAGCUCUUUCGUCGGGGAAGAAAAUGACUGUACCCGAAUAAGAAGGUCCGGCUAACUUCGUGCCAGCAGCCGCGGUAAUUC
rnacentral:rRNA from 1 species